GACGAAGGGGGCUAGCGUUGCUCGGAAUCACUGGGCGUAAAGGGUGCGUAGGCGGGUCUUUAAGUCAGGGGUGAAAUCCUGGAGCUCAACUCCAGAACUGCCUUUGAUACUGAAGAUCUUGAGUUCGGGAGAGGUGAGUGGAACUGCGAGUGUAGAGGUGAAAUUCGUAGAUAUUCGCAGGAACACCAGUGGCGAAGGCGGCUCACUGGCCCGAUACUGACGCUGAGGCACGAAAGCGUGGGGAGCAAACAGG
rnacentral:rRNA from 1 species